rnacentral:tRNA from 1 species
ACCUGACUGGCUCAGUGGGUAGAGCAUAUGACUCUUUGUCUUGGGGUCAUGAGUUCAAGCCUCAUGUUGGGGG